rnacentral:rRNA from 1 species
CAGUGAUAAACUGGAGGAAGGUGGGGAUGACGUCAAGUCAUCAUGGCCCUUACGACCAGGGCUACACACGUGCUACAAUGGCAUAUACAAAGAGAAGCGACCUCGCGAGAGCAAGCGGACCUCAUAAAGUAUGUCGUAGUCCGGAUUGGAGUCUGCAACUCGACUCCAUGAAGUCGGAAUCGCUAGUAAUCGUAGAUCAGAAUGCUACGGUGAAUACGUUCCCGGGCCUUGUACACACCGCCCGUCACACCAUGGGAGUGGGUUGCAAAAGAAGUAGGUAGCUUAACCUUCGGGAGGGCGCUUACCACUUUGUGAUUCAUGACUGGGGUGAAGUCGUAACAAGGUAACCGUAGGGGAACCUGCGGUUGGAUCACCUCCUUACCUUAAAGAA